rnacentral:piRNA from 1 species
UACCUACGAGAAAAGUGCGUCUGAAAAUG